CGUGUGGAGGAGAGAGGGGAGGGAGGAGAAUGGUCUUUUAAAAACCUCUUCAAUGCACUAAUGUCCCCGAAACCUGAACCCUUAUUGGAUCUAAGGGCAUUAUAAGACCAACGUCCUCCACAGCCUCUGUUUAAAGGGAUUGCUUUCAUUCAGGGAAGGAGAGGCGAAAAAGCCUUCCAGCAGAGCCCACUCCGACUCAGCCCUUCUCCCUGUGUGCCUGUCCCCUUGUCUCUGCUGCCGGGGCUGAUUGACCAACUCUUCCAACAGACCGGCUGCCGGCUCACCCAGAAGGCUCUCUUGCGCCCAUGCUUGCUACUGUGAUGUAGCCAAGCACAGCUAGCUGCCUUGUGGCCUCUGACGUUUGCACGGAAAAGAGAGGAUGCGCUCAACCUUCCUGUUCUACACCUGCUUUCAAACUCUGGGGUCUUGACCCUCCUAAAAAAAAAAAGAAACACUGGAGACUCAGAAAGGCCUGGAUCCCAAGAAUGGACAAAGCCAGAUGGCACGAAAAAUUGGGCUGCUGCAGUUUGGCUUUAGAUUUGGACACACACACAUACACUUUACACACCCAGUUCCUCUCCAAAGGGACCUUUGUACAGAGGUUGUAGCAUCGGGCGCUCUCUCACAGGACCAAAGGCAGCAAGUCCAUUAAAUACACAUGAGAGUCUAAUUAGGGUCCCCCUCGUGUGGCGGGCUUGGAGGUAGGAGUCAUUGGGGAAUGACACUGCCAGGACCCUGAAACUCGGAGAACACACUCUGCAAAUUAAUAGAGAAUGACCAAGAAGUACCUCUGUGACUGACUGGGACCUCUGCUUCCUUGGAGGCAAAAAUGUUCAGUGCUGAUUGCUCUCAUUAAAUUUGUUAUAGUGAUAUAAUUAUGAAAAUAUGUCUGGAAAAUGGGAUGACUCUCGGUGUGUGGUUAGUUUGCAUACUAUGGUAAAUUUGAUAUGAAUGUUUAAUAUUUAUAUGGUUCAUGUGACCUUUAAGUGAGACCAGGGAGAAGGUAUUGUUCAGUAUGCGUUUUAGUUUGUGGCCUCAUUUUACCCAAUUUCUCUGGUAAUUCCAACCCAUUAAACAUCUCUGUUGUGGUCUUUAAAUGAAUGAUAGUCAACCAUCCUGAACAAGAUUAACAUAACUGAUCAUUUUGCUAAUUUGUUCUGAAUUCAAGCAGGAAAAGGGGACUCAAUGAUAUUUCCCAUUAUAAUUAGGUUGAUAAUAACAUUGGCUGAAUUAUUGCAUUUUUGUUAUUCAGGAGGAAAGUCUUUCCUCUGGUGCGUGUCAGAUGAGAUAUUAGUGCGGACAUAAUUCUUAUUCUGGCAGCAGCAUGGUGACUGAUAUUAUUUAAAUUACACCUCCUUGGGCAAAGUAUUCGGAAAUACUUUGCAGAUGGGAAUUCAUCACAAAAUGGUGUUGAGAAAAUGAGGGGCAUCAGGGCUUGAUUACACUGACAAAAAUGUCUUUUUUUUAGAGCGAAAUGACAUUAACGUUAACAACUGACUGAGGUGUGCAGUACACUGAAAACUGGCCACAUCCUCCCAUAAUAGACGUAUUUUACCACAUCUAAUUAAUAAUGUAAUGUAGACAUAUAGAUAGAUAUAGAUAGAGAGAGAGAAAGAGAGAGAGCGCAUUGAACCUUCUUCCAGCUAACUUCACAGUCUCUCACAUGCCUUCUGGUUAACUGUAGUCUUUGCCACUCUCCCAUAAAGCUCAGUCUCUCCACUGUCAACAUCUAAAGCUUGUAACUCCUUCAGAACUGUUGUAGGUCUGCUGGUGACCUACCUCACUAGUCUCCUUGCACACUCACUCAGUUUUUGAGGACGGCCUGCACACGGUAGAUUUACAGCUGUGCCACGCUCUUUCUAUUUCUCAAUCUCUGAUUUAACUGCAAGGGAUGAUCAGUGACAUGGAGUACUCUCCUUUUCUACAUGGUGUUGGUUUUUCCAAUGUACUAACUCACUUAAAAAUGUAUCUUCCCCAUUGGUGUAUUUAAACUACAAUCGAGUGAAACCCAUUGACUACACACAGAUGAUCCCCACUUAACUAAUGACGUGGCUUUUAAAACCAACUGGCAGCACCAGUGAUGAUUUAUUAACAUGUUUAUUAUUAAAGGGGGUAAAUACUUAUGCAAACAUGUUUUGUAUUUUAUAUUUAUAAUCAAAUUAAAUCACUUUGUAGAGUAUGUAUUUUCACUUUGACUUUAAGAAUCUUUUCUUUGUUGAUCAGUGCUAGAAAAGCCACAUUAU